AGUGCUCAAAAACUUAGACAGGGAGGCCUUUUCUGAAUUAAAUAUGUAAAUACUUGAAAGUGACAAUAGAAUUUGAGGUGAAAGCAGCUUAAGAACUACAAAGCCCAGCUGGGCUGUGGUGGCGCAUGCCUUUAAUCCCAGCACUUGGGAGGCAGAGGCAGGCGGAUUUCUGAGUUCUAGGCCAGCCUGGUCUACAAAGUGAGUUCCAGGACAGCCAGGGCUAUACAGAGAAACCCUGUCUCAAAAAACAAAAAACAGAAACAAAAACAAAAGAACUGCAACUCCUGAGUCCUUAGGAAGGUGUGACAGGGUGAUAAGUGCUACCAGAUAGGUUCUCCCUGUCACUCAGAGGCUGACGGUGGGAAAUGUUACAAACCUCUGUGCUGUGGGAUUUCCUAGAAGGCUCAGAUGUCAGGGGCACAGUUCUCACACUGUCCUCUGAGGUUGUCAGCUGCAGUAGAGCUGUUUAAAUGUGCAGUGUUGUAGGGUGUGUUUACAAGAGCAGCUCAUUCAUUGAGUGUAUUUUUUCCCCAAACUAGAAAUAGGAAGAAAUAACUAGUUGUUUCAGUUUUAUCAUAGUAAAGAAAGAGCUUAAGAAUUAUUUUCAUUUACAAUUACAGAUGUAUACUCUGGUUUCUCUUCAGAGCAUAUAAAUCUUUCACCUUUUACAAUUACUGAUGUUUUCUGUCUGUUCUCUACAUUUACUAUAUAUAGUCUUACAUUAAGAAUGAUAACUCCAUUUGAAGUUAUUUAGAAAGUGACACCCCCUUCCUCAGAGAGUGGAGUGAUGCUCCAUGGUCCUCUCAUUGCUACACAGAAGCCACUGGUAGAAAAUAAAAUUCAUUGUAACAUUCAAUGGAAUAUUCAGCCACAAAAAAAGAAUACAACUCUGGCGCAUGCUAGCCUAUGCAUAGAUUCUUAAAGAAUCUGUGUCCAGCUUACAAAAAACGAAUAGUGUGUUCAGACAGACUAAUGGAAAGUAGACUGGAGUGGCUGAGAUUUGAGAAACAUGCAUGUCUGGUGGGCAGACUUACUCUUCUUGAUCAUCCAGAGGAGGACAGUAGUUGAGAACUGUGUAUCAUCGCAGCCAUUCUCCAUGCUGCUGAACUGUACAUUGAAGUGACUCAAAUCCUCUUCUUAAGUGUGUAAUUGUCACAAUUAUAAAAGAGCAGUUUUCUUUCAUUCCUAGUGUUUAUAUUGUCAACACCUUCUGUAUGUACUGAGCACACAGAAAUAUUGUGAAUAUUUGUAAACAUUUAUCAAAUUGGGAUGUGUAACUACUUUGUUUUCAUGUCUCAAAGUUUAAGUGCUGAAUCUAAGUGCUUUGUUUUGUUUUGCUUUUGUAAUGAUACCUUGGAAUUACAGCAAAUUUUAUGGAUAAAAUUUCACCAAUUUCUUUGAGAAAAGAGGGAUUAUUUUUUCUG
rnacentral:lncRNA from 1 species